CCUGCCCCUAGGGGCAUCAGGUGUGGCUGUGGUGUCACGUGUGCAUCAUUGGUGACAGAGAGGAGAGAGGCUAUGUCUGUGCUCAGUGUUAUGCCCUAUGAACAAAUGAGUAAUUAGUAGUCUAACAUU
ensembl:snoRNA LOC120102671 small nucleolar RNA SNORA17